rnacentral:rRNA from 1 species
AAUAGAUACCCGGGUAGUCCUAGCCCUAAACGAUGAGUGCUUGGUGUGGCGGGUAUCGAUCCCUGCCGUGCCGAAGCUAACGCAUUAAGCACUCCGCCUGGGGAGUACGGUCGCAAGGCUGAAACUCGAAAGGAAUUGACGGGGGCCCGCACAAGCGGUGGAGCAUGUGGUUUAAUUCGACGCAACGCGAAGAACCUUACCUGGGCUCGAAAUGCAGAUGACAUCCGGCGAAAGCCGGCUUCCGCAAGGACGUCUGUAUAGGUGCUGCAUGGCUGUCGUCAGCUCGUGUCGUGAGAUGUUGGGUUAAGUCCCGCAACGAGUGCAACCCUCGUCCUCUGUUGCCAUCAGGUCAAGCUGGGCACUCUGAGGAGACUGCCGGUGAUAAACCGGAGGAAGGUGGGGAUGACGUCAAGUCAGCAUGGCCUUUAUGUCCAGGGCCACACACGUGCUACAAUGGCGGAUACAAAGCGUCGCAAACUCGCAAGGGUGAGCUAAUCGCAUAAAGUCCGUCUCG